rnacentral:rRNA from 1 species
CAGCAGCCGCGGGAAUACGGAGGGGGCUAGCGUUGUUCGGAAUUACUGGGCGUAAAGCGCACGUAGGCGGCUUGGUAAGUUAGAGGUGAAAGCCUGGAGCUCAACUCCAGAAUUGCCUUUAAGACUGCCGAGCUAGCAGGUGAGAGAGGUAAGUGGAAUUCCGAGUGUAGAGGUGAAAUUCGUAGAUAUUCGGAAGAACACCAGUGGCGAAGGCGGCUUACUGGCUCAUACUGGACGCUGAGGUGCGAAAGCGUUGGGAGCAAACAGGAUUAGAUACCCCAGUAGUCCCUGUCUCUUAUAC